AGAUUGAACGCUAGCGGGAUGCUUUACACAUGCAAGUCGAACGGCAGCGCGGACUUCGGUCUGGCGGCGAGUGGCGAACGGGUGAGUAAUAUAUCGGAACGUGCCCAGUAGCGGGGGAUAACUACGCGAAAGCGUGGCUAAUACCGCAUACGCCCUACGGGGGAAAGGGGGGGAUCGCAAGACCUCUCACUAUUGGAGCGGCCGAUAUCAGAUUAGCUAGUUGGUGAGGUAAAGGCUCACCAAGGCGACGAUCUGUAGCUGGUUUGAGAGGACGACCAGCCACACUGGGACUGAGACACGGCCCAGACUCCUACGGGAGGCAGCAGUGGGGAAUUUGGACAAGUGGGGGAAACCCUGACUCCAGCCAUCCCGCGUGUGCGAUGGAAGGUCGUUAGGGUUGUAAAGUCGUACUUUACGA
rnacentral:rRNA from 1 species